UGGGCACUUACAGAACAACCAGGUCUUCUCAGUGCAACACCACACUGGGAAACCUAUUGGGAUACAGGCCCAUUCUGUCAAAUCGUUUCUAAUAGGAAACCUCUGUCAUCCUAGGAAUCAAUCAAACACAUCUUUGUUGCUUUGCUUCCAAAGCAGAGGGAAGAUCUGCACAUUGUACUGCAGUACCCUGGGAUGCAUCCCAUCUGGACCAGGAGACCUGUCUACCUUUAGGCCUACUAGUUUGCUCAUCACUACCUCUUUAGUGACAGCGAUUGUAUCGAGGUCCUCACCUCCCAUCACAUCCAUAACAUCGCUUUGGCAUGUUAGACAUGUCUCCACCAUGAAGACUGACACAAAAUAUUUGUUCAAGGCCUCAGCCGUUUCCACAUUACCCAAUAUUAAUUCCCCCUUCUCAUCUUCCAAUGGACCUAUGUUCACUUUAGCCACCCUUUUCCACUUUAUAUAAUUAUAAGAACUUUUAUUAUCUUUUUUUUUAUUUUGUGCUAGCUUACUUUCAUAAUCUAUCUUCCCUUUCCUUAUUGCUUGCUUAGUGAUCCUUUGUUGCUUUUUAAAGUUUUCUCAAUCUUCCAGUUUCCCACUAGUCUUGGCAACUUUGUAUGCAUGAGCUUUUAACUUGAUGCCUUCUUUUAUUUCCUUAGUUAUCCAAGGCUGCCUCUCCCCACCCUUACUGUCCUUGCUUUUAGCUGGAAUAUACUUUUGUUAAGCACCAUGAAAAAUCUUAUUGAAAGUCUUCUAGUGCCAGACACUCUUUGAUACAGUUUAAGGUAGUUCACAGGACCCGUAUGUCCAAAUAUAAGCUAUCCCGUUUUUAUCAACAUAUAAAUCCUAUAUGUGACAGAUGUAAAUCGAAUGUGGCUUCUCUGACACAUAUGUUUCGCUCCUGUCCUCUUUUGGAAAAAUAUUGGAAAUACAUUUUUAACAUUAUCUCAACUGUAUUGAAUAUUGAUUUACAACCUCACCCUAUCACUGCAAUUUUUGGAUUACCAAGG